CGCGCAGGUGGUUUCUUAAGUCUGAUGUGAAAGCCCACGGCUCAACCGUGGAGGGUCAUUGGAAACUGGGAGACUUGAGUGCAGAAGAGGAUAGUGGAAUUCCAAGUGUAGCGGUGAAAUGCGUAGAUAUUAGGAGGAACACCAGUGGCGAAGGCGGCUUACUGGACGGUAACUGACGUUGAGGCUCGAAAGCGUGGGGAGCAAACA
rnacentral:rRNA from 1 species